GCCUACGGGGGCAGCAGUGAGGAAUAUUGGUCAAUGAGCGCGAGCCUGAACCAGCCAAGUCGCGUGAGGGAAGACGGUCCUAUGGAUUGUAAACCUCUUUUGUCGGGGAGCAAAAGACGCCACGUGUGGCGUUCCGAGAGUACCCGAAGAAAAAGCAUCGGCUAACUCCGUGCCAGCAGCCGCGGUAAUACGGAGGAUGCGAGCGUUAUCCGGAUUUAUUGGGUUUAAAGGGUGCGCAGGCGGAAGAUCAAGUCAGCGGUAAAAUUGAGAGGCUCAACCUCUUCGAGCCGUUGAAACUGGUUUUU
rnacentral:rRNA from 1 species